UGUGAUGUCAGGCAGCGUGCAUGCAUGUGGUUGGCACUGGAGGAAGAGCUGAAAGGGGGGGGGGGGGGAGAGAGGUGGAUAAUAAGCUGUUAUUGGACAGUACAUACUGGUGCUGAGCUGUUAUUGGACAGUGCAUACUGUUGCUGGCAUCUCUCCUCUUAGGGCCAGUACAGUGUAUCUCCUCUUAGGGCCAGUACAGUGUCUCUCCUCUUAGGGCCAUGCAGUGUAUCUCCUCUUAGAGCCAUUACAGUGUCUCUCCUCUUAAGGCUCAGUGCAGUGUCUCUCCCCCGGGACCGCCCUCCAGUAAGCCACCGCCAGACGGACGAGAGACAACAAACUCAUACAACAAAAACAAACAAACAAACAAACAAACGACAAAGAAA